rnacentral:rRNA from 1 species
GCCUGACGGAGCAACGCCGCGUGAGGGAUGAAGGCCUCUGGGCUGUAAACCUCUUUUAUCAAGGAAGAAGAUCUGACGGUACUUGAUGAAUAAGCCACGGCUAAUUCCGUGCCAGCAGCCGCGGUAAUACGGGAGUGGCAAGCGUUAUCCGGAAUUAUUGGGCGUAAAGCGUCCGCAGGCGGCCCAGAAAGUCUGCUGUUAAAAAGUGGAGCUUAACUCCAUUUCGGCAGUGGAAACUGACAGACUAGAGUGUGGUAGGGGCAGAGGGAAUUCCCGGUGUAGCGGUGAAAUGCGUAGAUAUCGGGAAGAACACCAGUGGCGAAGGCGCUCUGCUGGGCCAUCACUGACGCUCAUGGACGAAAGCCAGGGGAGCGAAAGGGAUUAGAUACCCCUGUAGUC